GUAGGUGGCAAGCGUUGUCCGGAAUUAUUGGGCGUAAAGCGCGCGCAGGCGGUUCUUUAAGUCUGAUGUGAAAGCCCACGGGCUCAACCGUGGAGGGUCAUUGGAAACUGGAGAACUUGAGUACAGAAGAGGAAAGCGGAAUUCCACGUGUAGCGGUGAAAUGCGUAGAGAUGUGGAGGAACACCAGUGGCGAAGGCGGCUUUCUGGUCUGUAACUGACGCUGAGGCGCGAAAGCGUGGGGAGCAAACAGGAUUAGAUACCCUGGUAGUCCACGCCUAAACGAUGAGUGCUAAGUGUUAGGGGGUUUCCGCCCCUUAGUGCUGCAGCUAACGCAUUAAGCACUCCGCCUGGGGAGUACGGCCGCAAGGCUG
rnacentral:rRNA from 1 species